GCGGCGCCUGAGCGCCAGAAGGCCGCGUGGCCGGCGCGGGUGGAAUGUAAACACCGCAGACGGCGAGAGUUCGGGCUUGGGCGGGGGUCUGGCAGGGGUCUGGCAGGAGCAAGCGGAAAGGAGACGAAGAAACAGCAGCCAGGUGUCAGCCACCUCAGCUUCAAAAUGAGCCUUUCUCCUCAAUAAAGCAGAACACGUGAUAGUAAGGGUAUGAAGGUUGAACCAAGCAUCUUGUCUUCAAGAUGCUCAGAUCCGGUGGAAGAGAAGAGAAGCCCGUCCUCCGUUACCAAGCAGCGGGAGCAAUGCAGGCAGAGGAAGCACCUGGCGGCAGAGGUCCUCAUCCAUCCCAGGGAGAGGAGAGGGCCAGGAAGAGAAGGGUCACCGAAACUGCCUUUGCCAAAGACACCAGUGCCCCCCAUCUCACCAGCUCCCCUGGGCUCUCUUCAGGGUUCUUUUCCUGGCCCUGUCAGGAGUGCUGGCCAUGGUGGCCCCAUCCCUGUUCCCGAGGACACCACUACAGUCUCCUGGUUGGUCCUCUUCCUCCUUUACCUCCACUUAAGUGAUGGACUGAUUUGUCCACAUGCCCUCCUCCCUUAAGUGGUCUUUUCUUUCUACUUUCUGCCCACUUGACAUAUCUAUUUGCCCGUCUUUUGGACCUCUCGGCAUAAGACGCCCAAUGGUGGAUUCUGGGUUCCCCAGCCUGUCCCACUGGCCUCUCCACUGGGGCCGCUAUUCACUCAGUUGCUCAAGGCACAAACCCGGUUCUUGUUGCUUUCUCCCUCUCCUCAUCCUCUGUACUGCGUGUAUCAGCAAGGCCCAGACUCUCUGCCCUCCAGAUAUUUCCAAUCUGUCUCUUGUCCCUUCUCUGUCCCGCCCUGGAGGGAGCCACAGUCUGCUGCACAGGUGUAUCCCGUCCUGAACUGUGUUCCCACUGUCGCAGGCUCUUCCCCCACCAGAAUGCCUUUGUCACCAAACAGCCGGAAUCAUCUCUUUUCCCUAAAAGAUAACUGACUUGCGUGAGUCCAAUCAAACCUUCCCCUUCUGGAAACCAUUUGACAGCUUCGCGCUGAUCGCAAAUAGUCACAUUGCCCGAGUGCCAGGCCCUGCCCGAUGCGGCUUCUGCCGCAGCCCUCUGGUCCUGGGGUCCUGGGCACGUACCCUCCACUCUCUGGGCUCCAGCUUUUCUCUGACACGCUGUGGGCUCAGCUUCUGGGGUGUGUUUGCACCUGUUCACCGGCUCCCUGCUCCCCCUCCUUCUCAGGAGCCAACUCAGGCUACAGGGGCUCCUCCCCGAGGAGGCCUUGCCAGCCACCUGCCUGCAUCAGGGUCUCCCUGGCAGGGCUCGCUGCUUUCUCUCAGCAGCCUGAUUUGUUUUUUUGUUUUGUUUUGUUUUCUUUUUUAACUAUAAACAUGUCAAACAUACACUGGAGAAAUGAUAGUACACCUCAUAUACUUAUCCUACAGAUUUAAUACUAAAGAUUUUGUCCUAUUUGUUUCACGGACCUUGUGGCUCUCUUUUUUUUUUCUUUGCUAAAAGAUUUUAAGGCAGAUUCCAAACAUUAUCAUUUCAUUUUUACAUGUCUGAGUAUGCAUCUCUAAAAGUGUGGCCAUAUUCUUCCGUAACCACAAUGCCAGUAGGACACCUAACAGAAUGAACAAGUCUUGGUAGCAUUUAAUACUCAAUCUACAGUCACAUUUUCCAGUUGUCUCCAACGUGUCUUUUAACCACUGGUGUGAAUGACACUCUGAACAGGCUCCCCACACCGCAUCUGCCUACCGUGUCCUUCGCUCUUCACUCUGGAGUAGCUCUUCGGUUCCACAUUUGCUGCAGAAGGCAGCUCAGUCUCCUGCGGAAUCACUUCGCUUCCUGCAUUUGUCCCUUUUGUUUCUCCACGGAGUCGUGUGACUCGUUCCUCUCUCCCCUGUAGUCCUGUACGCGGAAGCCAGCUCUCCUAGCUGAUUAGGUUCAUGUCCGUCAGUGAUGC